rnacentral:lncRNA from 10 species
AAAAAUAGAACUGCAUCUGUUAGAUGAGAUGUGAGAGCCUAUGUCAAGCAUGAUGUAGUCUGUAGGACUGCGUCUGUCAGGUAAGGUUCCCGGAAACCCAGAGCCUUUCCAAGUGAGUGGCCCCACCGGUCAUCUCAUUGCCCAAGCCAGAAACCUCUCGGCCACACUGGAGAGCUCCCAGAAUGAGUCCUCUGCACUCCCCAGUCCAUCUCCGGGGCUUCAAAGUGGCUUGUUUGCUUCUGUCCUUGUCUUAGCCGCAGACUGUUCUCAGUCCUCCCACCGUGCCUCUCAGCUUCCACCCUGCGGUCCCCACCCCUUCCUUUAUCCUCUGGAAGGUGCUAUGCUUCCCCCUGCCUCAGUGGGCUUCCAGGAGAGAAUUAAGCCCUCACAGCCCAAGGCAUCUACUGGAUGUAAUAAGUGGGCACCUCUCCUUCGUGUCUAGAAGGUUACUAGUCUUGGACCAUCCUUGGGAGAACUGAGAAGUCACUCAGAUCAUUUUCUGUGGGCCUUAAUUCUGUCACGCUUGAGAAAGACUGCUUUGGCCACGGGACCUUUGCAUGUGCUGUUAUGGCUGCUGGAAUGCUCCCUCAGUGCUUCUCUGGGUCAUGCCUGCUCGUUCUUGAGAUCAAGGGUCAAGUACCCCUCAGGUUCCUUUUAUAAGUGGCCUCAGCACCAUGUUCCAAUUUCUCCUCAGCACUUGUUUCUCAGUUUCACAUUUAUUGGCAUGAUUAUUUGAUGUACGUCUCUCUCCCACACUCUGUGUCCGUUGCCUGUGCUAGAAAUGUGGGAGGUGCUCCAUAAACAGCUGUUAGGAAGACAUCCGUGAAGUUCUGAGGACUCUGAUGGCACCAAGUGGAGCUUGCAGGUGUGGCUUGAGAAGGUGCAGUGUGAAUGAUAGGCCUAGGUGAUAGGCCGAGAAGAUCGGUCAAGCCCAGAUAUGACCCACUGGGCCUGUCAGUGUCCAGGAGGUGGGGUGAGGCACAGGUCUAAGGUUCUGGAUCUGUCAGUACCACCUGAGGAGUUGGGAAUGGGCACAGGUACAAAGUGAUGAGUCUUCAUUGUUCAACAAAGAAUGGCACAGGUGUGAGGAUCUGGGUUUGUCAGUAUCUGAGGAUGUGGGGCCUGGCACAAGUAUGAGGCACUGGGCCACUGUUCAAGCAGGUGGGCUGGGGAACAGAAAUGUAGCUGUGGGUUUUUAAUAUCUGAGGAGACCUAGCCAAGUGUAGCAGAGAGCUGCUGGGUCUUUCAUUGUCCAAGGAAGCAUACCUGGGCACAAGUAUGAGACUGAGAAGGUGGGUCCUGGCACCGGUAAGGGGCUCUGGGUCUGCAAGUGUCUAUGGAAGUAGGGCCUGGUACAGGUAUGUGGUGCUGGAAGAGGUAUCCAAGGAGGUGGGCUAAGUACAGGUAUGAAAUCUGGGUCUUCCUGUGUCUGAGAAGGUAGCACCUGGCACAGGUAUGAGGAUCUGGGUCUUCCCAAUGUUUGAGGAGGUAGCAUCUGGCACAGGUAUGAGGAUAUGGGUCUUCCAUGUCUGAGGAGGUAGCACCUGGCA